AGUUGCCUGCAUGUAAUGUGGUGUUUCAUCCGACACUUGGAGCGAAAAUUUUGCCGGAGGUGUUACUACAUCAUCGGACAUACCCAUAAAAAUCCAAUCACCGGCUCUUGAUCUAGCCCUUCUCCUGAAUGUUUUUAGAUUCCUAAAAUUUUUCAAAGUCUUCUUGUUAGUUCUGUUCUUGAUUCCGGUAUCCCAGUAUUUAACAGGCAGUCCAUUAACUUCCGAUCCACGAGUUGAAGAAGUCAAUGAAAGGGUUUCGUCACAUUCACUCCCAUACUGAUGACACACAUCAUAGAAAACACCAAAUCUUAGAUAUUGUCCAAAAGCUAGCAAUUCUGUCUCAAGCACUCAAAUCCCAAGUACAAAAGAGUAAAUAAGCACAAAAAUAUAUAAAAUCUUGAGAAUGCCCAGAAGGUGCUCUACUAUUAAACCAAUAAGAUAUAAACAAGUACUACUGUUUCAAGGAAUUAAUUUUUUUUUUUUUUCCUUCAGAUCAUCAUAGUUGUUAAAUACCCAGAAUCUAAAAUAAUGGAAUUAAUGCUUUAUAUACAUGAAAAUGGAAUCAAAAUCAAUUUCAAGAAGUUGAACUUACAGGAGAAUUUUCUUUCUUUCCAUCAGAAUCGGUCGUGGCCCUCGUGUAAUCUGGCGAUGAAUCACAAGACUCCAUUAAACUAGCUUUUGCUGCAGGCUUAAAUAAUUUAUAAAUCAAUCAGAAAUCUCUUCAAGAAAAUUCAACUGACAUCAAGGCCAAAUAAGAUUUUUACAGAAACAAGAAGAGGACAAAUAUUACAUUACCGAAAAAAAAACUACAAAAAAUUUUAGGAUAAUAUGACUGAAAAUGCUAUAGAUUCCAAAGUGGUUGGCGUUUGUUUUAAAAAUUUGAGCAGUAAACAGCAGCUUACGUUUGAAAAAUAGUUGUGUUUGAACUUGUACAAAUUGGUACGUUUGACUUAGCUACCAUUUCUUUCCGAGUUGACUCACUUUCUUUGUUCAAAGGAUUUUUAAUUGGGAAUGAACUUAAACAAAAUUAUUGGAUUUUUUCCAUUAAACUUCUGAAUUUGAAAUCAAAGUGGGAGCCCUGUCUUGUGAAAAGAACAUGUGGGACAGUUGUUCUAUAUCAGUAUAAUUGAAUAAAUGGUGUAGGUGAGAAAAUACAGAACUGUUCUUUCGCAAUUGUCUAAAUUCUAAACGCGUGGACCAAACUCUAAUUUCUUCCCAGCUGUUUCUCGUCAAUUACACCGCUGAAUGCGAUAGGAGAAAUUUGUGUUGGAAAGUUUAGGUU
rnacentral:lncRNA from 1 species